CCUGGCUCAGGAUGAACGCUAGCGACAGGCUUAACACAUGCAAGUCGAGGGGCAGCACAGGUAGCAAUACCGGGUGGCGACCGGCGCACGGGUGAGUAACGCGUAUGCAACUUACCUAUCAGAGGGGGAUAACCCGGCGAAAGUCGGACUAAUACCGCAUGAAGCAGGGGCCCCGCAUGGGGAUAUUUGCUAAAGAUUCAUCGCUGAUAGAUAGGCAUGCGUUCCAUUAGGCAGUUGGCGGGGUAACGGCCCACCAAACCGACGAUGGAUAGGGGUUCUGAGAGGAAGGUCCCCCACAUUGGUACUGAGACACGGACCAAACUCCUGCGGGAGGCAGCAGUGAGGAAUAUUGGUCAAUGGCCGAGAGGCUGAACCAGCCAAGUCGCGUGAGGGAUGAAGGUUCUAUGGAUCGUAAACCUCUUUUAUAAGGGAAUAAAGUGCGGGACGUGUCCCGUUUUGUAUGUACCUUAUGAAUAAGGAUCGGCUAACUCCGUGCCAGCAGCCGCGGUAAUACGGAGGAUCCGAGCGUUAUCCGGAUUUAUUGGGUUUAAAGGGUGCGUAGGCGGCCUUUUAAGUCAGCGGUGAAAGUCUGUGGCUCAACCAUAGAAUUGCCGUUGAAACUGGGGGGCUUGAGUAUGUUUGAGGCAGGCGGAAUGCUUGGUGUAGCGGUGAAAUGCAUAGAUAUCACGCAGAACCCCGAUUGCGAAGGCAGCCUGCCAAGCCAUGACUGACGCUGAUGCACGAAAGCGUGGGGAUCAAACAGGAUUAGAUACCCUGGUAGUCCACGCAGUAAACGAUGAUCACUAGCUGUUUGCGAUACACUGUAAGCGGCACAGCGAAAGCGUUAAGUGAUCCACCUGGGGAGUACGCCGGCAACGGUGAAACUCAAAGGAAUUGACGGGGGCCCGCACAAGCGGAGGAACAUGUGGUUUAAUUCGAUGAUACGCGAGGAACCUUACCCGGGUUUGAACGCAUUCGGACCGAGGUGGAAACACCUUUUCUAGCAAUAGCCGUUUGCGAGGUGCUGCAUGGUUGUCGUCAGCUCGUGCCGUGAGGUGUCGGCUUAAGUGCCAUAACGAGCGCAACCCUUGCCACUAGUUACUAACAGGUGAUGCUGAGGACUCUGGUGGGACUGCCAGCGUAAGCUGCGAGGAAGGCGGGGAUGACGUCAAAUCAGCACGGCCCUUACAUCCGGGGCGACACACGUGUUACAAUGGCGUGGACAAAGGGAGGCCACCUGGCGACAGGGAGCGAAUCCCCAAACCACGUCUCAGUUCGGAUCGGAGUCUGCAACCCGACUCCGUGAAGCUGGAUUCGCUAGUAAUCGCGCAUCAGCCAUGGCGCGGUGAAUACGUUCCCGAGCGUUGUACACACCG
rnacentral:rRNA from 1 species